CGAUUGAUCUAGUUACUUAGAAAGAUGAAGAUUAAGAAUAAAUUAUUAAUUAAUUUAUUAAUUAAUAAUGUAAAAAAAAUAAUAAAUAAUGACUAAUAUAAAAUCUUGAUUUAUUAUUAAAAUAAUGAUUUAAAAUAAAUUGAAGUCUUAACUAAAAAUAGUGCCAGCAGUUGCGGUUAAACUAUGGAGGCAAACGUUAAUCAUUAUUGGCUUAAAGGAUCCGUAGAAUGUUAUAUUAUGAAAAUAUAAUAGAGUUAAAUAAAAGAAUAAUGAAUAAUUUAAAUUGAAUGAUAAAAUAUAAUGAUCUAAAUUAGACAAACAUAAUUGAAGAUAUUAAUCAAUAUAUUAACUGACAUUGAGGGAUGAAGGCAUAAGUAUCAAACUGGAUUAGAGACCCAAGUAGUUUAUGCAGUAAACGAUGAAUACUAAUAUAUAUAUAUAUUAUAAGUGAAAACUUAAGUAUUCCGCCAGGUGAG
rnacentral:rRNA from 1 species